GUGGGCAGGGCAGUUCCAGCCUGUGUCUGUGUUGCCGUGUUGUUUGUGUAGUCUGUCUUCUGUGUCUUAUACCAUACCUUUAUCGGGUCUUAAUAUCUUUGUAGCUCUUUGAUCGGCAGGGACCUCGGUAGUCUUCCCGAGAGUCCCGAGCGCAUCGCCUCAUCGGCAUCGCACCCGUCGAGCCUUCUUGUCUCGCGCUUAUAGCUUAAAGCGUGGAUCGGUCUGGCAUGCGUCGCGCCGUAGAUGUUUUUGAGCGGUCAUCUCUCGAGGUGGCGAGCUAGGUGGCGCUUGCGGCUCCGCUCUUGAGACUUCUGUUUGUACAGAGUUGUCUUCUGGGGUUUCAUUCCCAUGUUCUUAACGGUCUUAGGUCUUAAAGCCUGGCUUCUUACGCAUCCAUCAUUCUGGUUUUGACGGUAGCUUUCUCUCGCAGGCCGCAGCGGUCGCCCCUCUUUCUCGAGGCCGCUAUAAAGCAUCUGCGCCAUCGUGGCACCGUAGGGCUUCUCUGUCGGCCACAUCUUCCCUACGGUAGUCGGUCUUCUCGCUCGCGGUCGUCUCGUGUCUCACGGUCACGUUAUUUGUGGCGUCUGUGUGCGGUGUCGGUCUGCGUCGGGGUCGGAGCUGCCCUGCCCAGGGGUGUAGCAAUGCGGUGUAGCAAGGCACGGUGUUGUGAUAAUAUGUUGAGCUGCUCAAAUUGUUUUGACAAAGACCGUACGGUUCAUCUCUGGGCAAGUAGCUGUAGACAGCUGCCACAGAGUUAUUUUCAUUGUGUUUUGCGGGUGCCGGAGGUCAGACUCUGGCCUUCUGGGAGCGGCAGUUUGCACGGCGGUCGAGCGGGUUGAAUCUUGAAUGUGCCUUACCUUGUAUAUGUGGGGCUCAAUAUCUGGGGUUUGGUUUUUCCUUUUUUUUUUUUUCCCGGGUGUAGUUAGAAGGCACACGCAAAAAGAAGACGGACCUUUUGUCUCGCCAAGCUAUCGGUCAGCAUCCGGGUGACUCGCUUUACACGGUUUGUUCGGGUUUUUCCGACGCGGAGCGACGAGCCGCGUGCCGAAGGACGACGGAAGAGGCGAGCGGAGCGCCGGGUGAAGGCGGGCCGGCGUCCGAUGUCGGAGGAUCGGCACAACUGUCGGCGGUUCUGACUGGCUUAUGCUUUUUCAGUUUAUGCUUUUCUAGAUGCAAAUCGAUGUAUGAAGCGGGAUAUCCGCACCGGAGCGGACUUUGGCAAGAUUUACAGAGGGCGGGCCGGGCUCGGCACAGAGGACCGAAGAAUCUGACUCUGAGCGGCCGAGGGGCCGUGCUCCUUUGCAGAGGGGCGAAGCUGCACAGCCACAAGCGGUUGGAGAAAAGGCGAGAGACUCGUUAAGCGGUCCGCUCCGGCUCAAAUUUCCGAGGAGCUCACGGUAACUCGGCCGAGCGUUUGUCUUUGGUUUUGCCGGUGCCGCGAAGGCUUUCCUCAAACGGCUGAGGAUUUGAGGCGAGUCGGCGGAGGAGAGAGGAGCGGCAGGGCGGGAACCGCAGAGCGGGUUAUCGCUUCCGAUUACGACGGGCGCUUUAUCUCUCCGGUUUUCCGGCUUCCACGGGAGAUGCUGGCCGCAACAACUGAUUUUUUUGGGAGCGGCGUGGCACUUGCGGGGAGGGUGUCGUCGCGGUAGAGGUCGGCGCCGGCCGGCGUGUCGGUGACCGGCGGCGCUCUGCGUUGCGGGCGAUGAAGAGGAAUCCGGUGAAUGCGGGAGCAUCCCGGUUAGACGAUGUGCUCCUGAUGAGGAUGGAUUCUGGAUCCCGUCCUCUGAAAGGUCUUUAUGUUCUGGCCCACGGCCUCUGCACUCGUCACGCACCUCGGUAGGCGUCCGUAGGGUCUCUAAUGCCUCGUCGGUUUCGCAUAGGGCCUGUCGAGCGCUUCGGGUCUCGUGAAGGGAGCCUCGAGGGCGUUUUGCAUCAUGGAUGUUGCCGGACGGUCGCCUUUGCGGAGGCGAUCCGGGCCGGAACGACAGCUCUGCUCUUUGAAAGUUGUGUUUCUGUGGAGAUCCCCUACAGCAUUUCAUCCCUGCGUCCUUACGGGCUUAGGUCUUAAAGCCUGACUUGUCACACAUCCGUUGUUCUGGGUUUGUAUUGCAUUGCAACGCUCUACCGGUUUUGACUGCCAUCUGAGACCGCCUCGCUUUUGCAGCGCUUUGUGUCGUAUUGCAUUGUAUCGCUCCGUCUUUGGUUUUGUAUCGCAUUGCUCUGUACUUGUAUCAGCUGAGACCUGAGACUGCCUUGCAUUGUACAACCUCGUAUCGUGUUUUGUCUCAUUGCAGCGCUCUGUAUUUGUAUCGACUGCCGUCUGGGACCAUCUUGUGUUGUGUUGCUCUCUAUUUGAAUUUGUACCGCAUUGUUUGGCUCUGUAUCGGUUUUGUAUUGUAUUGCUCUAUAUUUGAAAUUGUACUGCCAUUUGAGACCGUCUUGCAUUGUAUGGCCCUGUAUAGCAUCUCGUCUCACGUUGCAGCGCUCCGUAUUUGUAUCGACCGCCGUUUGAGACCGUCUUGCAUUGUAUCGCUCUGUAUUUAGUUUUGUAUUGCAUUGUACGGCCCUGUAUUGUGGGUUUUGCAUUGCAGCGCUCCGUAUUUGUAUCGACCGCCG